GUUAGGAAUAUUGGACAAUGGGCGCAAGCCUGAUCCAGCCAUGCCGCGUGAGUGAUGAAGGCCUUCGGGUUGUAAAGCUCUUUAGUCCACGAAUAUAAUGACUGUAGUGGAAGAAUAAGCCCCGGCUAACUUCGUGCCAGCAGCCGCGGUAAUACGAAGGGGGCGAGCGUUAUUCGGAAUCACUGGGCGUAAAGCGUGCGUAGGCUGUUUUGUAAGUCAGAAGUGAAAGCCCAGGGCUUAACCCUGGAAUUGCUUUUGAAACUACAAGACUCGAAUUCGGGAGAGGAUAGCGGAAUUGUCAGUGUAGCAGUGAAAUGCGUAGAUAUUGACAGGAACACCAGUGGCGCAAGCGGCUAUCUGGACCGAUAUUGACGCUGAGGCACGAAAGCGUGGGGAGCAAACAGGAUUAGAUACCCGUGUAGUCC
rnacentral:rRNA from 1 species